rnacentral:rRNA from 1 species
UACGUAGGUGGCAAGCGUUGUCCGGAUUUACUGGGCGUAAAGGGCGCGUAGGCGGCCUGCUAAGUCGGACGUGAAAUCCCUCGGCUCAACCGAGGAACUGCGUCCGAUACUGGUGGGCUUGAAUCCGGGAGAGGGAUGUGGAAUUCCCGGUGUAGCGGUGAAAUGUGUAGAGAUCGGGAGGAACUCCGGUGGCGAAGGCGGGUCUCUGGGCAAUUCCUGACGCUGAGGCGCGAAAGCGUGGGGAGCAAACGGG